UACAAUAUAAGAAAAGAACAUGUUGUGGAAAAUACCUAAAUGCCCAUUUGUUUCUACAUUGCUCCACGUGGACACCUUCACUAUCUUUUCCUAUUUUAACUUCUGUUUCCAUCAUCAUGUUUCAUUUAUCAUGCUUUUUUCAUUUCUCUCUCCCACUACCUUUUCAUUUCUUUCUACCACUACCACUGCUCUACCCACUUUAUUUCCUUCUUCCUAUUUUCUUUCUUCCUCUUCUUUCUUCAUCUUCUUAUUAUAUUUUCUCUCUUUCAAAAUAAUUUACAAAAAUGGUUUACGAAAAAAUUGUUUAUGAAAAUGAUUUAUAAAUAUUUUGAUUAUUAUUUCUUCUCCUUAUUUAUAUUUUUUAGAAAUGGUUAACAAAAAUUAUCUCUUCCAAAAAUUCUUGCAAACUUGUCUUCAUAUGAAGAAAAAAUAUUUUUAUUGAUGCAUGGUUAAUGAUUGGUUUGACUCAUUAUUUUCUUGAUUAAUUUUUUAAAUAGGUUUGUUGAGGAAGUAAGUGUUCAUCUUCUACAUCCGAAAUCAGCAGAGACUAUUGGAUAGAGUUGAGGAUAAGAUUCUUGAAGAGUUGCAGUUUUGGGUUUGAUUUUUUUAUUUUGUUAAUUGUAUUUUGAAGGAAUUUGUUAAAAAUGAUGAUUGUGUUCAAAAAUUUGGUAGAAGUUCUUGAUUUAUCUGA